CCGAGGCUCCGCCCCGGCCCUUAAAGGCGGCGCGCGCGGGCGGACUGGCGCGAGCCGAGCGGGCGUAGCUGCCAGGGCCCGCGGCUAUGCUGAGAUUCUGCGCCGGGCGCCUCGGCGCGCUCCGGGCCCUGCGCGGCCCGCGGGACGGCGCGCACCUGCUCGAGCGGGACCCGCGGAGGUCAUUUUCUUCUGAGAAAGUCACACCGAAGGACCGUUCUCUCCCCAACAAAUGCUGGAACCAGGACUUGAAACUCCUCUUUGAGCAGUUCAUGAAGAAAUGUGAAGACGGCUCUUGGGAGCGUCUGUCUUCAUUUGAUACUCAGCGUGAAGAGAGCUUCAGAACCUAUUUUCUUGACGCGAAGUUUAUGAAGGAAGAACAAACAUCACUUGCCCAGCUCUUCACCAGAAGCUUUCAGGAGGGCCUGGGUUUUGAAUAUGUGAUGUUCCACAAAGAGGCUGAGAAAAGGACGGUCUGCUUGUUUCAAGGAGGCCCUUACCUGCAAGGUGCCCCUGGGUUCCUACACGGAGGUGCCAUUGCCACCAUGAUCGAUGCGACUGUUGGUGCAUCGGCACUCAUGGCUGGAGGGAUUGUCAUGACCGCCAAUCUCAACAUCAAUUAUAAAAAACCUAUCCCCCUUUUGUCUACUGUUGUGAUUGAUAGCCAAGUUGAUAAAAUCGAAGGAAGGAAAAUAUUUGUUUCCUGUACUGUCCAGAGUGCUGAUGAGAAGACCCUCCACACGGAGGCAACAAGUUUAUUUAUAAAGCUGGACAUUGACAAAUUUUGAAAUAAAGGAACUUCUGAAGAAUUCCAUGCCAGUCCACCUAGGACUGUCCUCCUCUGGAAGAAGCUGCUGUUCCCAGCCCCGCCCUCCUCCACGUGGAGUCCCCUCAGGUGAAGCUACAACAGCCCAGGGCUCCAGAUGGAGGAAAAACAAUCACAUUGAGACUUUUGCCACAAAGUUGAAAAUGCCAGAAAAACAAAGCAAAGAAUCGAUCUGUGGGCACACAUCUGUAUAAAAAGCAGACGAUCAUCUAUGGAAAUGCUUUGGGUCCUCCCAUGACUUAGAAGGUCAUGCUGCAAGAGAGAUAAAGCAUGUAAGUACAGCAUUCGGCAUUUAUCAUGCCCCCAUGUGCCACCUAGGAAGUCUGUCAGGACAUUUAAGGUCCUAUAAUUCUGUAAAACUCCCUUAUGCAUUACAGAGACUUUGUAUUUAACAUUUCCACCUUAUAAGCUGUCCUCUGCAACCAACUGUCUUCAUUUUUAGCAUCUUACAUCCACAGAUUUUUUCAGACAAAGAGAUUAGAAGUUAUGGAUUAUACACGUGUAUAAGAAAAAAUGUAAGGACAAACUUACUGCAUAUUUGGGCCUAGCAUUUUACCUCUGGGGUCUGUCUCCUCAUUUUCCAGGUCUGUGGUCAUCUGGUUUGAUUCUUUCACAAGAGUCCUUGAGCUGGUGGUAGAUCUCAAUAGGAUGAGGCUCUCAUCCUAAUUAAAAAUCACAGUAAUGACUGAAUAGAAAAGAGGCUUUAUCAGAAUGAAAAUAACAUAGAUUGGGAUGUCAGCCAGCACAUAGCUUCAAAGAGAGGGAGCAGGGUCUGGGUUGAUGCCCAGCAGAGCUAGGGUGACCUAACAGUAGAUCCAUACUUUUGUCCUGUUUUCAGGAAACUCAUCUAUACUCAUGAGGAAGAAUAAGAAUAGCAAGUCUGUGAACCUGAGGAACACACAAAGAACAGACAUCACAUAUACAGAAAACAGUGGAGAAAUAUACUUAGGUGGCUGGUUUGGUAUAGUGAUGAAGAACAGAAGAGUAGAAGUCAGUAAGGACUAAUAUUAAGAUAAAAUUAAAAUGCCUUAAAAAUAAACUUAAAAUAAAUAAAUAUUUUUUAAGAAAUAAAAAAUGCGGAGCUGGAGUGAUAGCACAGCGGUUAGGGCAUUUGCCUUGCACAUGGCUGAACCGGGUCCAAUUCCCAGCAUCCAAUAUCGUCCCUCAAGCACCGCCAGGAGUAAUUCCUGAGUGCAGAGCCAGGAGUAAUCCCUGAGCAUCGCUGGGUGUGACCCAAAAAGCAAAAAAAAAAAGAAAAGAAAAGAAAGAAAAAAUGCUAUUGAGGAGUCUCCACUGACCAAUAUUGGUCUGAGGUCCUUAUCCAAAUAAAGUGCUCUGAAAUUUCUGCUUUUGCCCAUCCAAAACCAACAGAAUGCAAUAGGCAAUCACUGCCCAAGCUUCAAGACUUAGGCUAACCUGUUUACAGUUUCACUAAUCACAGGGAUUCUGUCUAAAUAUGAAGGAAGGGAAGAAAAAAGUUGCAGGAAGCCUUGUGAGGUUCCUGACAGGAUGCCCACUUAGGAAGGCCUGAUUCAUCAGAAGAAAUAGCGCAGUCGUUACAUGUUCCUGCCCCUGGUUUGGUCCCCGGAACCCCACCAAGAGUGAUUCCUGAGCACAAAGCCAGGAGCACCACCAGAUGUGGCCCAAAAACCAAGCAACAACAAAAAGUCUUAAUUCAUAUAUCUGUUCAUUUUAUAGGUCUGGUUUACUUAUUUAAAUGUAGAGUCCUUCCAGGAUUUAGAAAGAGGAAACUAUUAUUUUGUUGAAAUAUACAAAUCUGUGAAUGGUUACAUAUUGCAAUUCAUUUUAAAAUUAAUUUUUUUAAUGUUUGAAACAGAACCUAAACACUGUGAUCCACAACACAGUCGCUUCAGGCGCUCAAUACUCCAAACCCAAUCCCACCAUCAGCUCAACCCUCCCUCCACCAGUGUCCCCCGCCUGCCAUCCACCCUGCCAGCCCAUGCCACAGCACACACAAAACAAUUCACUUCAUGUUGCCUGCCUCAACAUACAUCUCACAGUGCUGCAAAGAGAGUCACCAGUCAGGAUACACUGAGCUGCCAGGCUCUAGCUGAGCCCUCCGUGUCAUCAUUGGACUCACUGGGCCCAGUGGCCACUGCACAGCCUCCUGUUCAAUCUGCUGUGGUCCCAGUGGGACUCCAGCAUGAGAAAUUUGGAGAUGGUAGAUGACCACACAGAGCCACACUCUCCAGCCCCUCCAGAAUUGGGGCAACUCAGUAGCGUGACAUCUCCAUCAGAUCGGUAGUGGAGCUGGGCUGUUUAUAUGCCAGAGGAAGUAGGGCAUGGAUGGGGUGCUGGGCCCCCCACCACCACUAGGGCAGGGACCCAUCCACCCCCAUCUGGAGAAGGCUCCAGAAAACUCAGCCUGCAGACCUGGCCUACCCGGAGUGACUCAGCAAUGGCUUCUUUCCUAAAUUUAUUAGGAUUUUUUUCCAAAAACAUAAUUAUUAAAUUCCUUGAAUAAGACUUUCACUGUCUUUGGCCAGAGUGAUUAUACAGUGGGUAGGGCAUUUGCCUUGCACAUGGCUGACCCGGCUUUGAUCCUCGGCAUCCCAUAUGGUCCCCCAAGCACCACCAGGAGUGAUCCUCCCCCGCAAAAAUUACCAUCUUAUUCGGCAGACUUCUAAUAAAUCCACGAAAAAGCAUAGAUAUGCAGGGGGAAGAACAGUGGUAAAGUUGCACGGUUCAAUCCCUGUCAAUGUCCAGGGCUACUCCUGGCUCUACACUCAGGAAUCACUCCUGGUGGUACUCUGGGAACUAUAUGGGAUGCCAAGGACCGAACCCAGGUCAGUCUCAGGCAAGGCAAGCACCCUUUCCAUUGUACUAUGUCUCUGACCCACCACCAGGUUUUGUUUUGUAUUUUUGUCUUUUUGGGUCACACCAAUGAUGUUCAGUGGUUACUCCUGGCUCUGCACUAAGGAAUUACUCCUGGUGGUGCUCAGGGGACCAUAUCAGAUGCCAGGGAUGGAACACAGGUCAGCUGCAUGCAAGGCAAAUGACCUACCCAUUGUACUAUUAUUCCAGCCAUACUACCAGACUUUAUUUUAAUUUUUUAUCUUACAAAGUAGUCCACAAUAUUUUAUUACAUUUAAUAUUUGAACACCAAUCCCACCACCAUUAUACCUUCCCACCAUCAUAUUUCAAAUGUUUCCACCCUGAAUCCCAACCCCUGCCCAAAGCAGAACCGAAAUAAUUUAUUUUGUAUUGUUUGCUAUGAAAAACCACUGAAAAUGCUCCCAAAAAGUUUCCUUAGAGGAAAGAGUGUGAAGAUUGUUGUAUUUCACCCAGGGGGGCAUUAAGCCCUUCAAUAAGAGAUUACUAACAUGUUGAGCCUUGUGUGCUAUAUACAUCUGUAAAAGAUUUCCCUCUAAGAUUUGUUGCCCUAUCUUUAAACCCCAUCAAAUGUGGUGCAGUAUUCUUGGAGUAUGGGUGGUGUGAGAUAUGAGUUGUCGCAUGGCCAUGAAUGCAGCCACAUGGUCCAGAAAUACAUUCACUUCUGGAUGAGACUCAGCCCAAGCAUGUGGCGAGCAGCUAUGAGCAUGGCGGCGGUUGAGUACUGGAGGUUUUCGGCUGCCAGGCUGGGUUCCUUGGAGAGGGGAGGGGUCUCACCCACCCCCUCUCCAGAGCAACUCAAAUGAAACAGCCUGGCACAGGGUCCAAUGGCAUGGUUAUGAUGUAUGUCGUGUCAUGCUCCCUUCCAGAAGAGAAGGACAACUCGACUCUGGGUGGUGACCGAUGACAAAAUUAUCUGGUGCCAGCCAGAGGUGGCUUAUGGUGUCACUGCUGAGUUGCUGGAAGCAAGGGGAUGUGGGUGAAGCAUCCGCACUCCUGGCUCCAUUGAACCCAGAGUUUUCAGUCACAAGUCCCACGUACCUGGGUUUUCUGCAGAUUCACUCAUGGAUGAGACUCGGCUUGAGCAUGUGGAGAGUGGCCAUGAGCAUGGCAGUGGUUGAUUCUGGAGGUUUUCAGCUACCAGCAGGGAGGAGUCUCACCUGCCCCCCUUCGGAGCACCCCAAAUGAAACAGCCUGGCAUGGGGUCCAUCGGCAUGGUAUGGCGUGUGUCGCCACUAGAUGUUUUUCUAAUUAAGAUGUUUUGUUUUGUUUUAAUUUUUUUUAAUUUUACAUGAAUCACCAUGAGGUACAGUUAUAGACUUACAAACUUUUGUUCUUACACUUCAGUUAUACAAUGAUAAAGUACCCAUCCCUCCACCAGUGCCCAUUCUCCACCACCAAUGAUCCCAGUAUCCCUCCCACCACCCCCGCCUCUUCCCCUUUUGCUCAUUCUCUCUCUCCUUUUGGGUGUUGUGAUUUGCAAUAUAAGUAUUGAGUGGCCAUCGUGUUCGGUCUAUAGCCCGUAUCUCCCAUCCUGAGCAGGUCCUCCAAGCACCAUUUACUUGAUGGUCCCUUCUCUAUCCCAACUGCCUUUUCCCCCAACAUCUGAGGCUGGCUUCUAAGCCAAGGAGCAAUCCUCCUGGUACACAGCCACCAGAUUUUUUAAAGAAUUUUUUUUCCCCAGUCACUUCCAGUCUUGUCAGUUUCCUGCGUCCUGGAUGUAUGUGGGUCUCUCAGCAACUUGAAGGCUGUUGGCUCCUCGUUUCCUGGUUCCACCAACAAGUGGAUAGUUCUUAUUGGCAGAGGCUCCAAGUCAGAAUGAAGGGACAGCUCGUAACUUUUUAGUUUUUUCUGUCCUCAGCUUCUGGUCUUGUGUGCUCCAUCUGGUCUCCCCUCUACUGCUCUGGGAGCUAGUCACUGGAGGAGUCUGAGUGUGAGGAGGGAAAAUGUGGGCGGUGGGGACCCUAACAGGUGUUGUUCUAGACAAAGCACAGGAACAGCCGCAUACAGAAGGGGGGCUUUAUUGGCAGUGGAACAACUUCGGAAGGAUGUCCAACAAAAUGGCUGGAGGGUAGCUUCAAAGAGAGAGUUGGGUUCCAGUAGAGGGGUCCCACGGAGGAAGAGAGACAGACAGCGUACACAUAUUCUAGUGCUUCUUCAGGAAACUCAAAUAGAUUCAUUCGUGAGGAAGAAUGGCAAGUCUGCACAAUUGAGGAACAUGCAUCACAUACAGAAAACGGCAGAAAAACAACCUGGGGUGGCGAGGAAGAUUGUGUAGUUAGCGUGGUAAUGAAGACCAAGGAGACUCGAGGUGGAAGUAAGUUCUCAGCUGUCUCCACUGGCCGCAGCUGUCCACCUCAUGGUCUGGAUCCUUGUCACCAUAAAUCUUUUGAAGGUUCCACUUUUGCCAGAGCCAAUAGAACGCAGAGGGGCAGCUUCUCCAAGAGAGGCCGUCACACCCUCCACACUACCAGCUUCUAUCAGUUCCACCUUUCUGUAACCCAGAGAAUCCUAAAUAUUUAGGGCAAAAGUUGCAGAAAGCUUUGACCCUGAGAUAAGCCCCCUUUUUUUUUUGGUUUUGUUUUUAGGGCUAUACCUGGCAGUGCUCAGGUCUUAUUCUUGGCUGUGUACUCAGGAAUUACUCCUGUAGGCUCAGGGACUAGAUGGGAUGCUGAGGAUUGAACCCAGUUGGCCAUGUGCAAGGUAGACACCCUACCCUUUGUACUAUAGCUCUAGCCCAAUCUCUCUUGUUUUUGUUUUGUUUUGUUUUGUUUUUUUGCUUUUUGGGUCACAUCCAGCGAUGCACAGGGGUUACUCCUGGCUUUGUACUCAGGAAUUAUUCCUGGCAGUGCUCAGGGGACCAUAUGGGAUGCUGGGAUUCGAACCCGGGUUGGCCGCUUGCAAGGCAAAUGCCCUACCCGCUAUGCUAUCGCUCCAGCCCCUAACCCAAUCUCUUUAAAAAAAAAAAAACAGUAUUUUCAUCUAUGCAGCAUUUUGUGGGGUUAGGGUUUUUUUGCUUAUUUAUUUGGAUGAUUUAUUUGGGUUUUGUGGGGGUUUUGCUUGUUUGGGGGCUACACCAGCAAGCCAAGAGUGGCUCCUGGUCACCACCAUGUGAGGUCCAAAAACCAAACAAUUUUUUUUCCUUUUUAAGCCAGAAAGUGAGAGUAGGGCACUUGCUUUGCAUGCAGCUGACCCUGGUUUGAUCCCUGGCACCACAUAUGAUCCCCAGCCCUGCCAGGAGUGAUCUCUGAGCACAAAGCCAGGGGUAACUCCUUUAGUACCAGUGGAUGUGGCCAAAACCUUUUUAAAAAUUCCUUUCUUAUAUUUGCAGCCCAAAAGACAGCUUUUUUUGCAAUAACUUUUCUCAAACCUCAAGACUGGAACAGCAUGAGAAGAAAUUUUCAACUCAUGGGACAGAAUAAAAUAGAAUAAAGUAGUCCUCAAGGUGACAGGUGACUAAAGCUGAGUUGCAAUUCUUUAACAACACAGAAUUAUAGAGUGAUUAUGAAAAUUCCAGAUGCUUGAACCCAUGGUCUGUUCAGCCACUUGUAGUCCUCCAGCCAAAAUUACAGUAUGAAACACAUAUAUGAACAAAACAUGGCACACCAGAUCCUGAAAAUAAGGCAACAAGAGAUAUCGGGUUAUGGCUGUGGCGGGAUGCAUGGGAGAUCCCAGGGGGCGGGGGGGUACCGGCCCCGCCCUCUGCCGAUAUUUAAGUGGUGCCAGCGAGGAAGGGUUUCUCUCUCUCAACCCUUCCUUCCCGGGCACAGCAUUGCGAUUGCCACUUUUUGAGCACAAAAUGGAGGUACCAGCCCGGCUGCAGUGGGACAUGCGGGAGAUCCCAGGGACAGGGGGUACCGGCCCCACCCUUUGCCGAUAUUUAAAUGCAGCAGCCACACGUGUGGGGCCUUGCCGCUGCUGCACGAGCACGAUCCCGGAGGCCACCUGAACUACUUUGGACACGAACAGCUAGCAGAAAUGCCUCCAGACUGUGAACUGAGCCACUGCCCCAUGUGGCGCCAGUGGGGAAGGGUUUCUCUCUGCAGGCUUCUCCAUCUUAUGAGCACCACAAAAGGGAAGUAAAAGCUUGCAGUGAUGCAAUUUCUGGCAGAAUUUUCCCUGGACUUUAUACAGAAAUCCAGACCUAAUAUCUCUUAAUUGUCAGCAAUGUGAAAUGGUUCGUUUUUAGCAGGUCUGACUGUGGGGGGAAAUGCCAAACAAUAAUAGUGAGUUUUUUGUUGAAAUAUUGAAGGUAAUCAAAGUAGCAGCCAUUUCUCUAGACUGUGAACUAAGCCAUAGCCCCAAGCCGGCCAAGGAUGAGAAAUAUCCUUCUUUCUCAGUUUUUUUCCCUUGUCGGGUGGUGUGGCAUCAGCCAUAUUAUGAGGACUAUUAAGCAGGCAUGAACUUGGUGGUGCAGGAAGGAGGGAAAAAAAUGAGUUAUGUACUUGGAACAGCAGGACUUCAUAUCUCUUCAUUCUCAGCAAUGGAAAACUAAUUAUCAAAUGCUUCCUUGGCAGUAGGGCUGUCUUUUUUGGGGGGAAACUCCAACAACAAUAGUGAGUUUUGUGUUGAAAUAUGGAAUGUAAUCAAGGUAAAGAGAAAAUGAAGUGAAAUUUAUCAGUU